rnacentral:RNase_P_RNA from 1 species
GGUGGCGGAUGAGGCGGUCGCGGUGGGAAUUUUUCCCACUGAGGAAACUCCGGACUCGCGCCAACCCGGAUACUUCGGGCAACCGAAGGCUAUCUUGCCGAAAGGCAAGAUAGACGGAAAGUGUCACAGAAACGGAAACCGCCAACGGUCCUGCCUUUGGGCAGGAUGCGGGCAAGGGUGAAACAGUGCGGUAAGAGCGCACUACCUUGUCUCGCGAGAGGCAAGGUGGACAAACCCUAUCCGGAGCAAGGUCAAAUAGGGGCGAGAGGUUGGUUGGCCCUCGUUACUAGCCCCGGGUAGACCGCGCAGAUAAAUGACCGCCGAAAACAGAAUCCGGGUUAUCAUCCGCCACCACUA